CUCCUACGGGAGGCAGCAGUAGGGAAUCUUCCGCAAUGGACGAAAGUCUGACGGAGCAAUGCCGCGUGAGUGAUGAAGGUUUUCGGAUCGUAAAACUCUGUUGUUAGGGAAGAACAAGUACGACAGUAACUGGUCGUACCUUGACGGUACCUAACCAGAAGGCCCCGGCUAACUACGUGCCAGCAGCCGGGCUAAUAC
rnacentral:rRNA from 1 species